rnacentral:rRNA from 1 species
UACGUAGGGGGCCAGCGUUGCUCGGAAUUACUGGGCGUAAAGGGUCCGUAGGCGGUGUGGUAAGUCGGGAGUGAAAUCUCUGGGCUUAACCCAGAGGCUGCUUUCGAAACUGCCGUGCUAGAGUGUGAGAUAGGCGAGUGGAAUUACGGGUGUAGCGGUGAAAUGCGUAGAUAUCCGUAGGAACAUCCGAGGCGAAAGCGGCUCGCUGGAUCACAACUGACGCUGAGGGACGAAAGCUAGGGGAGCAAACAGG